GGUUUUCAGUAAGUCUGGUCCAGCUCUGUGUUUUCAGUGGUGUACCCCAGCAGCACAUCAGGUAUAAAAAAUACAUAAAAAAUAAAAAUGGGUGAACUGGAGCAUGGAACAUUGUUUUCAGAUCAUAGGAUUAGUGGUGGAGACAAUUUGGUGGUUCCCACAAGAAAUGCCCUUUGCAGCCAGAGGUACAAACCUGUUGACUACAAACAUCUGUAUGAUAUUGCUGCAGAGGCAAAAAUGGCCUCUGCACAAAUUCAGUUAAAGGUAUGAUUUUUAUUUUAUUUGUAAUGCUUUUGAAAUUCAGUGACCAUAUUUCUUGUUCCUGCCCCAAGGAACCUGAGAACAAAUUGGGAUCACAAAUUUCUGUAACGACAUUCAGCCAGAGGGGGUCAAAUACAAAAGUUUAUCAUGGCUAUACUGUGAUUUGGAUGUGCUAAUGUCAAUGUGUGGACUUUGUUCAGAUCAGUGAUGCAAAAUACGUGUUGAUUCUACUUCUUUAAAAGACAGGAAAGACUCAUAUUUUACUGCCUUGAGGAAAUUCACCCAGACUUAUUGUAUAAUCCUGGGGGCAGUGAAGAAUUUGUGGGAUUAAAUGGGAAUGCUGAUCCAGAAAAAAAAGCCAAACAAAAAAAGCCCAGCUGGGGCAGGAGUGGGAACAUGCUGGGGGAUGUUUGUGGGUGUGUCAGG